rnacentral:rRNA from 1 species
UACGAAGGGGGCUAGCGUUGUUCGGAUUUACUGGGCGUAAAGCGCACGUAGGCGGAUCGUUAAGUCGGGGGUGAAAUCCUGGAGCUCAACUCCAGAACUGCCUUCGAUACUGGCGAUCUUGAGUCCGGAAGAGGUGAGUGGAACUCCUAGUGUAGAGGUGGAAUUCGCAGAUAUUAGGAAGAACACCAGUGGCGAAGGCGGCUCACUGGUCCGGUACUGACGCUGAGGUGCGAAAGCGUGGGGAGCAAACAGG